GUGGGAGCAUCAUCUUCUCUUUAUUUUUACUGACUCCUUCUGAUUCCUUCCUCCCAAAUUUUAUUUUAUUUCACAGAUAGAGUUUGGAUGUCCAGGAGAUUCACCGAGAGCGACAACAACCACCGUUGGCCUUUGUGGACUCCGUCGCUGCCCCAGGCUAUGGAAUCCUCGAAGGUUGGGCAAGAACUGCAAAUAAAUAACCACAGUAUAUGGUUCUCAUCCUCCCUCAACUCAGGUUACAGUUGCUGUAUUGCAGUUACCUUCUUGGGCAGCUCUACCUCUGUCGUGAACUGUGAUGGUUUUCCCUUGCUCCAU